rnacentral:rRNA from 1 species
CGCCGCGUGCGGGAUGAAGGYCCUUUGGGUCGUAAACCGCUGUAGCAGGGGAAAAAUAUCCGUSUCGGACGGAUUGAUGGUACCCUGAAAGUAAGCCUCGGCUAACUACGUGCCAGCAGCCGCGGUAAUACGUAGGAGGCAAGCGUUGUCCGGAUUUACUGGGUGUAAAGGGUSCGCAGGCGGGCUUUUUAGUCGGGGGUGAAAUCCUACAGCUUAWCUGUAGAACUGCCUCCGAUACUGGAAGUCUUGAAUAUGGUAGAGGKCAACGGAAUUCCRGGUGUAGCGGUGAAAUGCUUAGAUAUCUGGAAGAACACCGGUUGCGAAGGCUGUUGCCUGGGCCAUUAUUGACGCUCAUGMACGAAAGCGUGGGGAUCAAACAGGAUUAGAUACCCUGGUAGUCCACGCCGUAAACGAUGRAUACUCGGUGUUGGCCCUUAUSGGUCGGUGCCUAAGCUAAC